rnacentral:rRNA from 1 species
GAUGAACGCUAGCGGUGUGCUUAAAGCAUGCAAGUCGAACGUGAUCCUUGGAUUCGUUCAAGGUGAAAGUGGCGAACGGGUGAGUAACGCGUUGGUGAUCUGCCCCGGAGUGGGGAAUAACUAUCGGAAACGAUAGCUAAUACCCCAGAUGUCUUCGUGUUUGGAAAGCGAUGACUAAAGUUCAGGCGCUCCGGGAGGAGCCUGCGUCCCAUCAGCUAGUUGGUAGGGUAAUGGCCUACCAAGGCACAGACGGGUAGGGGGCGUGAGAGCGUGGCCCCCCACACUGGUACUGACACACGGACCAGAUGCCUACGGGUAGCAGCAGCUAGGAAUAUUGGGCAAUGGGCGAAAGCCUGACCCAGCAACACCGCGUGGAGGACGAAGGCCUUCGGGUCGUAAACUCCUUUUCGAGGGAAUGAGAAAGGACAGUACCUCCAGAAUAAGGCCCGGCUAACUACGUG